rnacentral:misc_RNA from 1 species
GCUAAGUCACGCUGGCGCAGUCUUUAUCCUCUUUCUCUUCAUCUGCUCUUGUCAUCUCUCAUCCGGCGCACCGAGUCGCUGCCCGUGCAUGUGCGCUCGUACUGCUCCUCCGCUUGUACUGGGUGCUCCGCGCAGCGCUGUCUAACAAGACACUGUGCACGGCUGUGAUUGCGCGUCUUUCAUCGCGAUGGCGGCCGCGUCGGCGGCCUCGCCGUCUCACGGUGACCUUUCCAAAGACCACCUGUUCAUCCUCUGUCGUUUCGUGGGAGGCACCGUGGGCGGAGUGAUGCAGGCAGCCUCCAGCCACCCCUUCGACGCGAUCAAGUUCCGCGUACAGAACGGCAUCUUCCCCUCCAUCUCUUCCUGCGUGUGGAACACGUAGAAGGACGAGGGCAUCCGCGGCUUCUACAGCGGCUUCACACCGCAACUCCUUUUCUGCGGCUUUCAAAACGCUGCGCUCUUCAGCCUCAGCCAGACUAUGAACAGCCUGAUGGCCCUGCCGGAGCAGGGCCCACACACCCCGCCGCCGCUGUGGUGCACCGCCGUCGCGGCCCAGCUCACCACACCUCUUUAUGUGCUGACUGUGGCGCCUGUGGAGAAAGUGAAGGUUCAGUUGCAGAUGCUCGGCCAGGGUGGCAAGGAGUCUUCCACGGUGGCUGGGCCUGUUUCGUGCCUGCUUCACAUCAUUCGAGUGGAGGGCUACCGAGGCAUCUUCUCCGGCUACACCCCGACACUAAUGUCUCAUCUGAUUGGCCUGCCGUUUUACUUUAUGGGAUGCCAGACGGCGCGGACCACGCUGCUCGACACACCGCUUGCCUCGAUGGCAGCCGGCCGCGAGGUGGUGGUGCCGAUGCUGAGCGGUAUGGUCGCCGGCAUGUGCUUCUGGACGAGCAACUACCCGUGCGACUUUCUCAAGACCUGCGUGCAGGCCUCCAAGAAGAAGGUGUCCAUUUCCGACAUCAUCUGCACAACGUACGCGGCCGGUGGGGUGAGUGCCUUCUACAGGGGCUACACAGCAUGUUUUCUACGUUCCCUCCCAGCGAACGCCUCGGGGUGGCUGGGCAUCGAGCUGGUCACCACCUUUAUCAUCGGGCGCGGCUGUUAGACGGGCGUGGCCCAGGUGUGCCUCUAGGGGUGCGUAGUGCUCUAUAUGCGCAUGCAUGUGUGAGUGCUGAGUCCCAGAGUACAGCGGGUAGGGGUGAGGGCACGGCGGGCGAGACACUGAUAGGGAAGAGGAAAUGCAUCGAAAAAGAGUGUGGUAAGUGAGCACGAAUCGAUGGGUGAAGCCUCACCUCCGCUGUCGGCGGAGGCAAGCCCGACCAAACACAUAGCAUGUGCAUCAAAAGUUGCUCUCUCGCCAUCCCCAUCUUAUUCGGUCUCCGCGUCAGCGCCAGCGCCACCCCCCUCCUCCCCCUUCACCCCCUGACACCACCGCUCAUCCCGUAUCGUUCCCCCAACACCUUGACAACGCCUCUGACUAGCGCGUCGCAACUCGCUGUCGCUCUAAACCCCUCUUUCAG